GAUGAACGCUGGCGGCGUGCUUAACACAUGCAAGUCGAACGGAAAGGCCCAAGCUUGCUUGGGUACUCGAGUGGCGAACGGGUGAGUAACACGUGGGUGAUCUGCCCUGCACUUCGGGAUAAGCCUGGGAAACUGGGUCUAAUACCGGAUAGGACGAUGGUUUGGAUGCCAUUGUGGAAAGUUUUUUCGGUGUGGGAUGAGCUCGCGGCCUAUCAGCUUGUUGGUGGGGUAAUGGCCUACCAAGGCGUCGACGGGUAGCCGGCCUGAGAGGGUGUACGGCCACAUUGGGAGUGAGAUACGGGCCAGACUCCUACGGGAGGCAGCAGUGGGGAAUAUUGCACAAUGGGCGCAAGCCUGAUGCAGAGACGCCGCGUGGGGGAUGACGGCCUUCGGGUUGUAAACUCCUUUCGCUAGGGACGAAGCGUUUUUGUGACGGUACCUGGAGAAGAAGCACCGGCUAACUACGUG
rnacentral:rRNA from 1 species